UGAGGAAUAUUGGACAAUGGCCGGAAGGUUGAUCCAGCCAUGCCGCGUGCAGGAUGACUGCCCUAUGGGUUGUAAACUGCUUUUGUACGGGAAGAAACCUCCCCUCGUGAGGGGAGCCGACGGUACCGUAAGAAUAAGGACCGGCUAACUCCGUGCCAGCAGCCGCGGUAAUACGGAGGGUCCGAGCGUUAUCCGGAAUCAUUGGGUUUAAAGGGUCCGUAGGCGGGCCUGUAAGUCAGGGGUGAAAGGCCACGGCUCAACCGUGGGACUGCCCUUGAUACUGCAGGUCUUGAGUCGUUGUGGGGUUGCCGGAACAUGUGGUGUAGCGGUGAAAUGCAUAGAUAUCACAUAGAACACCGAUCGCGAAGGCAGGUGACCAACAACGUACUGACGCUGAUGGACGAAAGCGUGGGGAGCGAACGGGAUUAGAUACCCCCGUAGUCC
rnacentral:rRNA from 1 species